rnacentral:tRNA from 1 species
UCGGGAUAGCUCACUUGGUAG